GGGAUUUCGGGCUCCAGCAGCACGCAGCCUCCAGUCUUGAGUGACUCCUGGGCUUUGGCUCAGCAGUAACUCCUCCAUAAAAACAAGUGUGUGCAUCUGGCUGUUAGAAGAAUUCAUGCUCAUCCGGGUAAGGAUAAACUGGAGAAAUUAUUCCUUUUUUUCCCUUUGGGUGGUUUUGAGGUUUUAGAAAAAUUGAUCCUCUCUUUGAGAAGAGUUCAGAACUAUUUGUCUGAAGUUUUUCCAUCCAAACUGCUUUAUCGUAUUAUCCACUGUCUUACCCUUUUCCUGUGAAAUCUACCCUCUUCAAAACAUAGUUUCAUUUUCAAAUUUUAAAAGAUAAGAUUCCAUUUUUCUUUCCGUGCAUGAAACUUUAAAAAUUAAAUCACCACAGUUGCUACUGGCUUAGAAGUGGGGUCUUAUAUUUUUAGGAAGUAUACUUUAAAAGUUAGGCAGAGGGGAAAUCUAUGUUUGCAUUUGAUUUAUGAAACAGUGACUGUUACAUUAAAGGGCGGAUUUUCAGACAUACUACUUGAUCUGCUCUGACAAGCUAUGAGCUCUCUCUCUCUGCCACUUUUCUCCCGAACUGUGUUCUAAUGGUGGAAUCAGCUCAUCUUUUUUCCUUAGGCAUGUGGUUUAGUCUGUGUACAUUCAGCGCGGUGGCAUUUUUCUUGAAGAAGUGACUAAGGCUUCUUGGAUGAAUUCUGUCUUUGAAAGAGGUAGUAGAAUUGCAUCAGAAAGGCAUUUACAGUAAAUGGCUACCCCCCCUUCCUGUAAUGACCGCAUGUGAAAGAAUGCAUUAAUUCUUGUUUUGAGGAAAUGAGAGUUGUAGAGUUCUAUGAAAAACUCCCUUUUUUAUCAUUAGUUAGCCAGGUUUGAAUGUUCACAUUUUAAAAAUCAGGCUCAUUUUGUGCUAUCUAAAUAAAAGUCACAAAGAUACAGCUUUCCACUCCAUGUUCUAUGUGGAGUAACCAAUCAUCCUGAACUCAAAAAGAGGAAAUUAUGUUGAAUAUGGCUACAGUUAAUGGCAUAAGCCUAAACUAAAUUAAUUUCUUCAUAGUCUUUUUUUAUAUUAAGUUACUGUGCUUCCUAGCUAUGUUGCUGAUUUGUCCAUCAGGAUUUGAUUCUCAGUGCGACGGACGAUGAAGACUAAAAGGAAACUCCCAUAGAUGAUCUGGUCAGGAGUUCUCAUGGAAGCAGUACCGCCCCCUAGGUGACAGAGUGGAAAUUUAUGAGGGUAUUCUGGUGGUACAAUGAAGGAUUUUUCUGGUUUUUUUUUGAGAUGGAGUCUCACUCUGUUGCCCAGACUGGAAUGCAGUGGUGUGAUCUCAACUGACUGCAACCUCCGUAUCCUGGGUUCAAGCAACUCUCCUGCUGCAGCCACGAAAAAUGAGGAAGCUGUGAGUACCAGUGGAAGGAACGAGCCAGGAAGAGGGACUGGAACCAUCUCAGAAGCCAUGCCCCUCAGGCUGGAACUUGCCCUGUCUCCUCGCAGAUGAGACUGAGUGUACUUGGUCUGGUAUUUGUGGCAUAACUUACGGAACACAUAAGAAUGAUACAGAUACUAUUUAAUGAUGACCUAAUACAAGCUUAGAUAGCUAAGGUGAAAGCUUCUAUGGCCUUAACAUUUUCCUCUUGAAGAAUGUAUUUUCUGUAAUAAAAUACAGUGGCUACUUGAAAUCUAUAAACUUAUGUGAGGUCUGGAUAAAUCUGAGCAACUUUCUUCUUUGUGCUCCAGGAACCUACGCACUAUAUAUAUAAAUAAAGCUUAAGUAAACAUCACUGCAAUCUGUGUUUUGUUUGAUUAUAUUACGUAUUGCCUGAUCUUUAAAUAAUGAUGAAAAAUAGCCUUUAACAUAAACCAUGAAUGGAUAUGCACUUGAGGGAAACAGUUUCUUGGAUAAUUAAACUUUAAUUUCUCACCGUGGAUUCCUUGGAUCUUGUAAUAUUUUUUAAAACAGUCCUGGGGAUUUAUUUUUAAGGCGUCCAAAUGAAUUAUUA
rnacentral:lncRNA from 1 species